AAUCAUUUAUAUAACUAUUGAAGUAAAUGUAUAUGUCUGUUUUCGUAAUACGUGAAGUCUUGCUUGAGAAUGCUCCGGGCACCUAACUGUAGAAGGUAGAAUGGAAAUUGAAACUACAAAAUCCUAACUAUAAUAUAAUAAUAACUAAAUUCUAAUUAGAUCAUAAUAAUGCUAAGAAAGCCUUAAUCAAAUUCAAAGAAACCUCAAAGAAAUUUCAAAGAAAUAAUAAGAAAUCUUAAAAAAAUAUUAGAAUAAUCUCAAAUAUCUCUCAAAUAUAUUUCAAUUCAAUCUUAAUUUAAUUCUAAUUAAAAUCCUAUUGGACUUCAUUGAAAUUUUAGGCCAAAAUUAAUUUAAUCUUAAAUUCUAAAUAAAUCCUAAUAAAAUCCUAAACCCUAAACCAAACCUUAAUCAAAUUAUAAAUCAAACUCUAUCCAAAUUCUUAACAAAUCCUAAAUCAAAUCCUAAAUCCUAAAUCAAAUCCUAAAUCUUAAACUAAAUCCUAAAUCCUAAAAUAAAUCCUAAUCAAAUUCUAAAUCAAAUCCUAACCAAAUCUUAACCAAAUCUUAAACCCUAAAUAAAUCUUAACCAAAUCCUAAAUCCUAAAUCAAAUCCUAAACAAAUUUUAAACCAAAUCCCAACCAAAUCCUAAAUAAAAUCCUAACCAAACUCUAAACCCUAAACCAAAUCCUAACCAAAUCCUAAACCUUAAACCAAACCUCAACCAAAUCCUAGUAAUUCCCACAACUGAUUCAAACCAUAAUAAUUAAUGAAUGAACUGUUGAUCUUAACUUAAAGUUUGCAUACUUUUUAAAAACUAAGUUGAAAACAAGCACAAAAAAUUUGAAAAAGAU
rnacentral:lncRNA from 1 species